rnacentral:rRNA from 1 species
CAGUCGCCGCGGUAAUACGUAGGUCCCGAGCGUUGUCCGGAUUUAUUGGGCGUAAGGCGAGCGCAGGCGGUUAGAUAAGUCUGAAGUUAAAGGCUGUGGCUUAACCAUAGUACGCUUUGGAAACUGUUUAACUUGAGUGCAGAAGGGGAGAGUGGAACUCCAUGUGUAGCGGUGAAAUGCGUAGAUAUAUGGAGGAACACCGGUGGCGAAAGCGGCUCUCUGGUCUGUAACUGACGCUGAGGCUCGAAAGCGUGGGGAGCGAACAGGAUUAGAUACCCCGGUAGUCCCUAUCUCUUAUACA